AGGCUUACUUAGCAGCACAUAUACUAAAAUUGGUACGAUACAAAGAUUAGCAUGGCCCUUCUGCAAGGAUGACACACAAAUUCAUGAAACAUUCCAUAUAUUA